rnacentral:rRNA from 1 species
UACGUAGGGUGCAAGCGUUGUCCGGAAUUAUUGGGCGUAAAGAGAUCGUAGGCGGUCUGUCGCGUCUGCUGUGAAAACUCAGGGCUUAACCCUGAGCUUGCAGUGGGUACGGGCAGACUAGAGUGCGGUAGGGGAGACUGGAAUUCCUGGUGUAGCGGUGAAAUGCGCAGAUAUCAGGAGGAACACCGGUGGCGAAGGCGGGUCUCUGGGCCGUAACUGACGCUGAGGAGCGAAAGCAUGGGGAGCGAACAGG